UUUAAUUUACGAUUUUUAGAAGCGAUGUCUGUACGUGUUUCCAACUGACUAUUAUUUACAGUUUUCACAUAAUCGUUUAAUAAAAUAUUUGAAAAAAUUGAUAAUAAUUUAAACCAAAUACUUUGAUUGCAAAAAUUGAGAUUCCAAAUUGCCAUCAUUUAUUAUGGCUUCCAUUAUUGCAUACAUAUGAAUAAAUGAGGCUAUCGCUUCUUCAGUGGGGACAGAAAGGCCCCCUCUUUAAUGGGACCCAUAACCAGAAAUAUAAAUUUUAUUGGAAUCAUCUACAACACAAUCGGACAAGUAUUCGGUAUCGAAGAUUCCUGAGAAACAAGUCACAUCAGUGGGAAGAUCACGAAGAUCGUUAUUAUAGUCAUCACAAAUUCGAAAUUUAUUUUUGAUUUCAGUAAGAGAGAACGAAUUUGCCGAUUUUGAAAAAAUAUGUUUUAAUCUAAUUUUUUUUUUCUGCAUGAAUUAUUUCGUUAUAUGACACAUGAUAAUUACAACCAGAUAAAAGUCUAUAAUUUCCAAAUCGUUUUUCUAAUUUUUCGGUUGUAAAAUGGAGGGUACUACAUUCCUUAUAAGCCUUGGACAUCUCAACAAAACAUUCUCCAGUACACCAUUGGCCGAUAGAAUACCGUGGUACCUUUCGAUAUCAGUUUCUGCAAAAUGCAAACUACA